GGAAGACUAGAAAAGUGCUGUACAGUCCAUCUACCAUCUACCAUCCGUGUACUGCUGUUAUUCCUGAACGUGAUGCCGUCACAACAACUUUCAGUCUUUGUUAUCAACCCAAAGAAAUUCAAAGUGGCAGAUAUGAAAAACGUUAUUUACUGGUCUGAGGUGGAAAUGAUCAAAAAUAAUAGCACUGGCUAUUCUAGAGUGUUAAUACUGUGAUAUUUGCAUAAUCAUUAUUUUGCAAAUGGCCGCCUUUCAGAACGAGGAGGGAGAGAGAAAGAAGGAAAGGUUUCGGUGAGAGUUUCUUGGUUAUAAAAAGCAUAUUUGUAUAUUUUCAUUUGUAACAACCGGGCACGGUGCCUUGUGGCUGUUUUCAGACGCGGACUUCAGAGUCUCCGGGCAAAUCAACAGUGAAGGAAUCAAACAGUUAAAUCAUACACUUCAGAACAAUCACGUCUCUUUGUAAUGCAUUUGUUUCAUAGAGAUCACGUGAAGUUAACCGCUCCUGCAGACAUUCCUGUAAUUAAAAUGUACAUUUACCGUAAAAACCUGCUCACAGUUCUGCAUCUUUAAACACAGCUCGCCGUAUUUAAAAAGAAAACCGCCUUUCAUACAAUUGUUAUAUAUUUCUUUCCAUUGUUUCCUUUGUAUCACUGAGUGCUCUAAUGAUGAAACUGCUUUGUUUUUUCUAUUUCUCUCUGUCAAAAAUUGAGCAUGUUUCCAUGGCAACCACACGGCCGUUAGCCAGCUGUCCUAAGUGAGAUAACGUAUCAGGCAGAAUUGAGAGCGAGUUCUAUAAAUUCCCCCUUGGAUUAAGAAAAGCAGUUGUGUGCGUUGUGUGGAGGUGUGUGUUUACCUGCGUCACACCCAGUGGGCCUCAUUCAGCACGACUUCUUCACAUUGGCAGAUUUGAUCGGAUUACAGGACUCAGGACUCAGGAAACUUCGCUCUGAAAUUUUGCAUUUAACCGUCGACGGCACCAGCAGCCGCCUCUCACUGCCUGCCAGGGAGCACACGUCUCGUACGGCCAACCAGCGAGUCCUUCUGCCGCUGUGAUCCGUGUACAGAGGGCAUCAUCUACCACACGCGUGCUCUUCGGUAAAAACACACCAAGUGAACCACAGUGCCUUCCCGUUUGUUUGCAAACCACUAGCGGCACAAAUUGAAGCAGCCUUUGUUAAUAUGGCUACAUGUUGAUGUUGUACACAUUCUUUAUUUGUAAGAGGGGGGAUGAUAUGUAGUCAUUUUAAUUUGAACAAGCAGGAGAUGCAGAAUGUUUUUGUGUGUACCUUAAUCUGUACUGUAAAAUCAAAUCAAAAAACAGCAAAGGAAACGUGGGAAAUAAAUGAGAAGUACAUCUUUAAUCCACAGAGACAUUUAAAAUGUACAGCUCAUAACUUGAGUACCCAUGCCAGAUUACGGCUUUAAACUAAUUCAGAACUGAAUUCCUAAUGUCUCAGCUGAUCCUCAGUCGCUGGGAGCGAUAAACAGAACUUCACAUAGAAACACAUUCAAGGAUGAGACAUUUUCUCUUGCUUGCAGUGAAUCGCAAUACCAUGUUAUCUACCUUUUGUUAUGUUAUUCUUUAAUUAUGAACCGCUGAUUAAAAUUCCACAGCCGUCAAGGUACUGAAGCACACGCAUACAAGAAUGCAGAAUUCGACAUUUCAAAAUCGAUUGCUGGCUUCAUCGGGAGAUGAGGGUCCGUGGCCUCAGGGCGGCAGGGAAACUCAUCAAGGUGAGCUCGUAAAGAUAAAUGAGAGUGACAAAAAUUGUGACCUAAAUGCUAAAAGGAACCUGCGAGGCAACGGCCAGCUAAAUGUCACAUCUGCACGGCAGCUCAGCGAGACCACAGGCUGCUGCUGCUGCUGCUGCUGCUCUGCUCUUCCAUAAUAAAGCAACUGUCUGAGUACUGGCAAACAAUAGCGGCUGUCACAAUGUCAGCCGGGUGCGUCUCCGCCAGCUGACAACGGACACCACAGGCAUCGCUUGGAUGGGAGUUUGACCAUGUGUGUUGGGGAGAGAUAGUCAACCUGGACCCUUUCUCGGCUUUCCUCUUUGUCCAUUUCUUUAAAAAGACCACAAAAUCCCUCUUUGUUCAAAGACUUUCAGAAUUAUGUGGAGGGACGUCUCGUCUUUUGUACUUUGUUAUUUCUUGGAUUGGCCGACGUGCUCCUAGUUUUCAACUGCUUGUGCGAGUUGAAAACUAGGAGCACACGGCGAGUUUGGAAAACUUUUACUUUGAGGGAAAAGACUGUUGAUUUUGGCUGCUUUCUGAAACGCUGUUUGUUUUUUCAGGCAUUCGUACAUAACUGGCAUCAUUUCCCACAUAGAUUUUUUUCUGAAUUACAGGGAGGAUAUUGGAUAAAAAUGGUGACCAAAUGUGACAAUUAUUGAGGGAUUAUGCGUCAUCAUUGACAUUUUUUUGUGGUUGUAUUCAUUAUCUGGUGAAUUACUCCCUUUUUAGCACCUAAUCAAGCCGCCACGGAUUAGCUUCAGCUCGUGUAAAAUGUAUUUCAUGCUCCAGCUUCCAUGAAAGUGGCACAACAGACCAGGAAAUGUGCCACUGGCAUGUAAAUAAAUCUGCGUGUGGGCAUAAAAAGUAAUGGUGUCGAGCUUCUAUAGCGUAGAAUACAACUCCACUUCAAAAUCUACAAAAAUAAAAGGAGUGAAAAACAUUUCAGUCCAAACAUUGCAUUCCCGCAGCCGCUUUCUUUCGGUUUCACGUUACACAGAAAAGAUGCACUGUGGCCGACCUUUAACCGGUGAGAGAAUUGAGCGAUCCACCGGCCCUAUUUAUAUGGAGAACAGCUCCUUAUUAAUAUGUUAAUACCUGUCAAUUCUUCCCCGCUUUGCAUUAAAGAGAGCAGUAGCUUGACCUUUGCCGACAACCUGCCAACAGAGUCAAGCCGGCCUAAUUAAAGAAAGUUGUUUUGCGUCAAUUGCCUGUUGAUCCGGGGGAGCACCAAGAGCUCCAAAUAAUUCACUUAUGUGUCAAGUUUUUUAAAGGAAAUGUUCACCAACUUGAAAGAUUUCUCUGCAGUGGGGAAUCACACCGACAGUUGAUACUCAGUUGGUGUUUAUUUCAGGGUUUAACCAGCUUCACUUUGGCCAGCAGGUGGGAAGCAAAACAGACGCUGAAGAGUUCAUGGAAUAAAACUGAAACCUACACCGUUCGUUUAAUCACACACUCACAACCCAACGAGCUAUAUCCUCAGGGGAAAUGUAAAUGGUGAAUGUCUGAUUUACUUACUCCGUUGAUGUCCCAGAAAAUCCUUAUUUAAAGAAACUAAGCCAGUCAACUACGAGAUAAUUGACCAUAAAACAUUUUAUGCUGAAGUAAAGAAAACGGACUGUGGAUCAUUAGUUACAGUAAGGAUUGUUGCUGGUGUGCUACUUCAUGACAAUUCAAACCCAUGAAUGCAGAUGGGAUUUUCAUUUGAGAAACGUCCUGUUUGAACUGUGUGAGGAAUAAAGUUCUGGGAUGGAUACAUGUGAUGGGCAGGAUUUAAGCCACACAAAUCUAAUACAUUCAUCUUUGCUUUCAUUAAUAAAUGAAAGGACGCCAUUAUAUGGGUUUGGUUUAAGAGCUUUAAUUGUCAAUGUACAGAGUCGGUGCAUGGGCUUAGUUAUUUGGCAAAAGGUUAAAACAUUAAAAUUUCACUUGGAUAAAAUAUGAUUUAUAGAAAAAUAGCACAAUUGUUAAAGUUCAUUUUGAAGUUAUGAUAACCAAAUGGUUAGUACCCGGGGUGCUGUGGGAAGGGACCAGCUGGGUGACAAAGAGGUCAAACAGGAAGUUGAUCUGCUUUAUGGGAAUCCUACAGGAAAUUGGACUGUGCCAACUGUGAUGCGUUAGAGCGAACAUUAGGAAAUGUGAUGUUCUGAUUAAGGUGAUUUUGUCUAAUAAAAUUAUUUUUGCAUUGACUAAAGUUCAUCCGUGUCUCUAAAUUUAGUUAAAUAUAUUGUGUUCAUUCCAGGUUUUUAGAUGUUACUGCCGUUAGAAUUUGUAUUGUUUGGUCUCCCCCUUUUUGUUUUCAUGGUGCUGCCCACCUCUUAUGAAUUCUGUGUAUUUUUUGUCUUAAAGUUAGUUAUGGUCCCCUAUGAAAUGAUGUACUCUGGUGGUUGAAUUCGGGCCGCUGCUGUUGUGAGAGCCUAAAGCACCAUUAUGUCCUUUUUUUGGUGUACUGGAUUUUUCCCAUAAGGUAACCUGAAUGGAAGAUGGUGUUUGCAUCUUUUUUUAUCCUCUCUAAUGAGGCUUGUUCACGUUUCAUCUUGCGUAAGCAAGAUUUAAUAAACUCCCAAUAAAAGACCA